AUUGAACGCUGGCGGCAGGCUUAACACAUGCAAGUCGAGCGGAGAUGAGGUGCUUGCACCUUAUCUUAGCGGCGGACGGGUGAGUAAUGCUUAGGAAUCUGCCUAUUAGUGGGGGACAACAUUCCGAAAGGAAUGCUAAUACCGCAUACGUCCUACGGGAGAAAGCAGGGGAUCUUCGGACCUUGCGCUAAUAGAUGAGCCUAAGUCGGAUUAGCUAGUUGGUGGGGUAAAGGCCUACCAAGGCGACGAUCUGUAGCGGGUCAGAGAGGAUGAUCCGACACACUGGGACUGGGACACUGCCCAGACGCCUACGGGAGGGAGCAGUGGGGAAUAUUGGACAAUGGGGGAAACCCAGAUCCAGCCAUGCCGCGUGUGUGAAGAAGGCCUUAUGGUUGUAAAUCACUGUAAGCGAGGAGGAGGCUACUGAGACUAAUACUCUUGGAUAGUGGACGUUACUCGCAGAAUAAGCACCGGCUAACUCUGUGCCAGCCGCCGCAGUAAGAC
rnacentral:rRNA from 1 species